GGAACCCUCUAUCUCAGAAGGCUGUUUCCUCAGGUGGAAGGUUCACCUGCAGCUUUCCGUCGGAUUGGCUCCGCAGAGACCUCAAUGUGAUCGGUUUCGGCUUGAUCGGUUGGCUUGCACCGUCCAGCGUUCCACUCAUCAACGGGAACAGCCUGACAGGGCUCUUCUUCAAUAGCAUUGGGACCGAGCUCGCUCACUGGCCAACCGGCCCCGCCCUCACCUCUGAU
rnacentral:misc_RNA from 1 species